AUAUAUCAUUGAAUUCAACUCCAACUGAAGUCAUUAUCAGGUAACUUCAGAAAAGUCAUUAUUGAAGAAUUAUGCUACUAUUCCUUGCUGAGAUGGAUGAGGGAAGGAAAAACAUAAUCUUAUUAACUUUUAAAAUUAUAUUUCAUUUAUGAGUUCAAAGGGCAUUUGAUUAUACGCUGCACUGUCAGUGCUACUCACAUCGGAGCUCAUCUUGGAAUGAUAAACAAGGCAGGCCUGUAAUGUAUACCAGAGAAUGACAAGAUGCACCUGUCCCUACAAGUUUUGAGACAAAACAGUAGGCACUUGCAGACAGCUGUGUCAUCUAUGAGAAAGUCUACUCAUAGGCUCACCAACAGGCAAGAAGAAACACCCCCAGCCAGUUUAGACUACAACAUCACAAUGUUUGCAUUGGUAUAUCUUUUAUUUCUCUGAGAUUAUUUUGAAUAGAAAACUAUGUUGGCUAAAAUCUAUUAGUAAAAUUCCUUUGUAUGUAAUAAAGGGCUGUUGAUCUCUGGUGGCUUUCAUUUCUAUGCACAACAUUUUAAAGUAUUUUAAUAAGUAUUACGUAAAUCAAUGUUAAUAAAUGUUCAAUUGGCAGAAGAACAUGAAUUAUUAUAUAAUUACCUUUAAAUAAUUUGCCUUAUGGUUUUUCAUCAGUAUGAUUUUUAAACAUUCUGAGGGUUUGAUUUACAUCUCUUUAAGAGGGAAAAAUUUUUUGCCUUAAUAGAAAUUUUUCCAGUCCUGAAUGUUUUACUUUGGUCAUUUAUGCCUAAUCACGCAUCUCUCACAAAG
rnacentral:lncRNA from 1 species